AAAAUUCUGCCUUGUUGACUUCAGAAUCGUCAAGCACUUUAUGUGAAGCGUGCCCUUAAGCUAUCCUCUACAAGACCCAGACAGCCUGUCCUGUUUCUGGCCGAUCUUGGAUUCUCGCUGAUGGUUGAAUGCAGAGGUACAAGUAGCCAGGUAGGCAUCUACACACUGAUAUCAGCAGACUCUGAGGAGCUCACAAGUGUAUUUCAAAUUCACUUCAACAAGGGCACCAGGCACUGUUAUAAGGAUUUCGUAAAAAUCCGUCCUUUAGAAUCUUAUUUGAGUGUCUGCAUGAUGAAGAUGUGAAAGAAGAAACUGAGCGAUAUUGAACAUCACAGGUGAGAUUGAUAAGGGUAAAGAAAGCACAUUAUGAUUACAAAUAAUAGUGUAAGAGAAAAGCCUGAACUGAUCUGUAUUUU
rnacentral:lncRNA from 1 species